GCGCACUUAGCUUAAGUUGGUAAAAAUCAUCACUCAUGAAUUUGAGGAUAUGGGUUCAAAUCCCAUAGUGCAC
rnacentral:tRNA from 1 species